AGUGAACGCUGGCGGUAGGCCUAACACAUGCAAGUCGAACGGCAGCACAGUAAGAGCUUGCUCUUACGGGUGGCGAGUGGCGGACGGGUGAGGAAUACAUCGGAAUCUACUUUUUCGUGGGGGAUAACGUAAGGAAACUUACGCUAAUACCGCAUACGACCUACGGGUGAAAGCAGGGGAUCUUCGGACCUUGCGCGAUUGAAUGAGCCGAUGUCGGAUUAGCUAGUUGGCGGGGUAAAGGCCCACCAAGGCGACGAUCCGUAGCUGGUCUGAGAGGAUGAUCAGCCGCUCUGGAACUGAGACACGGUCCAGACUCCUACGGGAGGCAGCAGUGGGGAAUAUUGGACAAUGGGCGCAAGCCUGAUCCAGCCAUACCGCGUGGGUGAAGAAGGCCUUCGGGUUGUAAAGCCCUUUUGUUGGGAAAGAAAAGCAGCAGGUUAAUACCCCGCUGUUCUGACGGUACCCAAAGAAUAAGCACCGGCUAACUUCGUG
rnacentral:rRNA from 1 species